rnacentral:rRNA from 1 species
UGUUGGCGGGGUAACGGCCCACCAAGGCAACGAUCAGUAGGGGUUCUGAGAGGAAGGUCCCCCACAUUGGAACUGAGACACGGUCCAAACUCCUACGGGAGGCAGCAGUGAGGAAUAUUGGUCAAUGGGCGAGAGCCUGAACCAGCCAAGUAGCGUGCAGGAAGACGGCCCUAUGGGUUGUAAACUGCUUUUAUAAGGGAAUAAAGUUAGUCUCGUGAGACUUUUUGCAUGUACCUUAUGAAUAAGGACCGGCUAAUUCCGUGCCAGCAGCCGCGGUAAUACGGAAGGUCCGGGCGUUAUCCGGAUUUAUUGGGUUUAAAGGGAGCGUAGGCCGGAGAUUAAGCGUGUUGUGAAAUGUAGACGCUCAACGUCUGCACUGCAGCGCGAACUGGUUUCCUUGAGUACGCACAAAGUGGGCGGAAUUCGUGGUGUAGCGGUGAAAUGCUUAGAUAUCACGAAGAACUCCGAUUGCGAAGGCAGCUCACUGGAGCGCAACUGACGCUGAAGCUCGAAAGUGCGGGUAUCGAACAGGAUUAGAUACCCUGGUAGUCCGCACGGUAAACGAUGGAUGCCCGCUGUUGGUCUGAACAGGUCAGCGGCCAAGCGAAAGCAUUAAGCAUCCCACCUGGGGAGUACGCCGGCAACGGUGAAACUCAAAGGAAUUGACGGGGGCCCGCACAAGCGGAGGAACAUGUGGUUUAAUUCGAUGAUACGCGAGGAACCUUACCCGGGCUUGAAUUGCAGAGGAAGGAUUUGGAGACAAUGACGCCCUUCGGGGUCUCUGUGAAGGUGCUGCAUGGUUGUCGUCAGCUCGUGCCGUGAGGUGUCGGCUUAAGUGCCAUAACGAGCGCAACCCCUCUCCUUAGUUGCCAUCAGGUUAAGCUGGGCACUCUGGGGACACUGCCACCGUAAGGUGUGAGGAAGGUGGGGAUGACGUCAAAUCAGCACGGCCCUUACGUCCGGGGCUACACACGUGUUACAAUGGCAGGUACAGAGAGACGGUUGUACGUAAGUACGAUCAAAUCCUUAAAGCCUGUCUCAGUUCGGACUGGGGUCUGCAACCCGACCCCACGAAGCUGGAUUCGCUAGUAAUCGCGCAUCUGCCAUGGCGCGGUGAAUACGUUCCCGGGCCUUGUACACACCGCCCGUCAAGCCAUGAAAGCCGGGGGCGCCUAAAGUCCGUGACCGUAAGGAGCGGCCUAGGGCGAAACUGGUAAUUGGGGCUAAGUCGUAACAAGGUA